AGUGAACGCUGGCGGUAGGCCUAACACAUGCAAGUCGAACGGCAGCACAGUAAGAGCUUGCUCUUACGGGUGGCGAGUGGCGGACGGGUGAGGAAUACAUCGGAAUCUACUUUUUCGUGGGGGAUAACGUAGGGAAACUUCCGCUAAUACCGCAUACGACCUACGGGUGAAAGCAGUGGAUCUUCGCACCUUUCCCGUUUGAUUUAGCCGAUGCCGGAUUAGCUAGUUGGCGGGGUAAGGGCCCACCAAGGCAACGAUGCGUAGCCGGUCUGAGAGGAUGAUCGGCCACACUGGAACUGAGACACGGUCCAGACUCCUACGGGAGGCAGCAGUGGGGAAUAUUCCGCAAUGGGCGAAAGCCUGACGGAGCAAUACCGCGUGGGUGAAGAAGGCCUUCGGGUUGUAAAACCCUUUUAUUAGGAAAGAAAAGCAGCAGAAGAAUAUACGGAUGUUCUGACGGUACCCAAAGAAUAAGCAACGGCUAACUACGUG
rnacentral:rRNA from 1 species